rnacentral:rRNA from 1 species
AUACGUAGGUGACAAGCGUUAUCCGGAUUUACUGGGCGUAAAGGGCGUGUAGGCGGUCUUGCAAGUCAGAAGUGAAAUUCCUGAGCUCAACUCGGGCGCUGCUUCUGAAACUGCAGGACUUGAGUGCUGGAGGGGAUAGCGGAAUUCCUAGUGGAGCGGUAAAAUGCGCAGAUAUUAGGAAGAACACCGGUGGCGAAGGCGGCUAUCUGGACAGUAACUGACGCUGAGGCGCGAAAGCGUGGGGAGAAAACAGGAUUAGAUACCCUGGUUGUCCGCGCUGUAAACGAUGAAUACUAGGUGUGGGGGGACUGACCCCGUCCGUGCCGCAGUUAACACAAUAAGUAUUCCACCUGGGGAGUACGAUCGCAAGAUUGAAACUCAAAGGAAUUGGCGAGG